rnacentral:rRNA from 1 species
UACCAGCACCCCGAGUGGUCGGACGUUUAUUGGGCCUAAAGCAUCCGUAGCCGGUUCUACAAGUCUUCCGUUAAAUCCACCUGCUUAACAGAUGGGCUGCGGAAGAUACUAUAGAGCUAGGAGGCGGGAGAGGCAAGCGGUACUCGAUGGGUAGGGUAAAAUCCGUUGAUCCAUUGAAGACCACCAGUGGCGAAGGCGGCUUGCCAGAACGCGCUCGACGGUGAGGGAUGAAAGCUGGGGGAGCAAACCGG